ensembl:lncRNA
AAAAAUAGGAGCUUUGGAAUUCUCUGUAUUAUUAAGACCUUACAUUUUAAGCCUUCAUUUCCACAUGCAUCAUCUUUUUUAAAAAGUCCUCAGACCUUUAAAUUAGGUAGAUGGCCUCAUUUAUAGUCACUUUAAUACAAAUAAGGAGUCUGAGUGACUUGCCAAAUUGUCAAUCAAUAAAUACUAGAGUCAGACUAGAAACCAGACCCCACCACCAUGCUUUCUCUGUUAAGUCCCUGGGAGCCACUGAAGUAACUUGUGCACAGGCUCUUGUAAUGUGGUUCCAGGCUGCAAUGUCCGACUUGAUUUAUUUUUGGGGCAGAAGAUUUAAAUAAACAGAACAGAAAUUUCAAGUCUGGCAGCAGUCCUUAAGGAUACACUGGAGAGAAGAGAUGCUCAGGAAUACCGAGAUCUGGAAUACCAAGAUAAGAACCAAAGAGAUGAAACCAAAUAAAACGUAUUUAUAAAGCUGUGCCUUUAAGAUUAUAAAUAUCCACUUCAUAAGUUCAGCUUGCAUAAAAACUGGACUAAUAGUUCAUAAGAAAUCUACAACUUAAUUAACCACAAGAUUAAUGAAAGUUAAGUGUUAGGUAGCUGCUAAAAACAGAUGUCCUAUUUGGCUGUGUGAUCUGAAAAUGAGUGUCCAGAACAAGAAAGAUGUGACACUGCAUGCUUUUUAUACCACCAAGAAGUGCAUCCAGUUCCAGGUGCUAAACUCUAAAAAUGAUACUCUUCAUAAACUUAAGAAGCAUAAACUAAACUGAGACAACUAGGAUGACGGUGAAGGACUGAAGAAAACCAUGGGAGUUUUACAAGGAAACCUGAAAUCUAACAGGAGAAAAGGAACAGAUUUCCAAGAGCAAGAGACAAGGCAGAAUGAGGGCCAGAGUGAGACUGCAGAGUUUGGCCAAAUGUAGACUAUUUUCUCCCAGUUUUCUGUUUCUAGGAACGAUACCACGUCCUUUAAGAGGUGUCCUAACCAUUAUGUCAGCACAACUGAGCUUCACGUGGAAACCAAACUGCCCUUGGGACCCAAACCCAGAAGGAGAUGAAACAACCUACACUGUGCGCCUGGGAGGAGAAGCCAAAGGCACGUGCAUGGCCUCUGAAUCACAGGGAGACCUGCUUAAAAACAAGACUGUCCUCUCCCAUGUUUUUAAAUAGUCAAUUAGUAGGUGACUGGGAGGAGCUAAGAAAGAGUCUGGAGAGAUAAGAGCCAGGUAAUGAGUCAUCCUACAAGGAUUUGUAUCCAUUGUCAUGCACACGCAGAAUGAUUCAAAGUUGAACAGAAGCCUUUCAAAAAUAAACUUGGAUUCAAUGCGCA